CCCAUGGCUCAGAUUGAACGCUGGCGGCAGGCCUAACACAUGCAAGUCGAGCGGAUGAAGAGAGCUUGCUCUCUGAUUCAGCGGCGGACGGGUGAGUAAUGCCUAGGAAUCUGCCUGGUAGUGGGGGACAACGUUUCGAAAGGAACGCUAAUACCGCAUACGUCCUACGGGAGAAAGCAGGGGACCUUCGGGCCUUGCGCUAUCAGAUGAGCCUAGGUCGGAUUAGCUAGUUGGUGAGGUAAUGGCUCACCAAGGCGACGAUCCGUAACUGGUCUGAGAGGAUGAUCAGUCACACUGGAACUGAGACACGGUCCAGACUCCUACGGGAGGCAGCAGUGGGGAAUAUUGGACAAUGGGCGAAAGCCUGAUCCAGCCAUGCCGCGUGUGUGAAGAAGGUCUUCGGAUUGUAAAGCACUUUAAGUUGGGAGGAAGGGCAGUAAAUUAAUACUUUGCUGUUUUGACGUUACCGACAGAAUAAGCACCGGCUA
rnacentral:rRNA from 1 species